rnacentral:misc_RNA from 1 species
UUUCUGGCAACCCCACCUGCAGGAUUAUAUUAAAUUUCGUGCAAUCUUGUUGCCCUUCCUAUAUUUGAUUCUUAAUUUCUUUGGCUUGCUAUUCAGGAUGGUCUUCCAACUAUCGCAACAUGAGUUCUUGCGAUAUUUGCAAGCCUUUAUUGAAUCAACUAUCCGUUCUCUGUGUGAUUGUUGUAUUUUUGUAACAAGGGGCGUGUUCAGGGUUUUCUUUCAAAUUAGUUAUUGCUCUGUUCUCUUUAGGCCGAGUUAUUUGCUAUCUGUCAUGGUCUUUGUUGAUGGUUCUGCUUUGUUAUUUUGGAAUCAACGAUUCAAUCGGUUGGCG